GUAGUGCAUGUUUCUGUAGGAUGUGCCGGAUGAUCUUGAUGGUGCUCCCAUUGAGGAAGAGCUUGAUGGCGCACCGCUGGAAGAUGUGGAUGGAAUUCCCAUUGAUGCUACUCCCAUUGAUGAUCUUGACGGAGUCCCUAUAAAAAGUCUUGAUGAUGAUCUUGAUGGAGUGCCUUUGGAUGCAACUGAAGAUUCAAAGAAGAAUGAACCCAUCUUCAAAGUUGCCCCGUCAAAAUGGGAGGCUGUAGAUGAAUCUGAAUUGGAAGCACAAGCUGUAACAACUUCUAAGUGGGAGCUAUUUGACCAGCACGAAGAAUCAGAAGAAGAAGAAAACCAAAAUCAAGAAGAAGAAAGUGAAGAUGAAGAAGACACUCAGAGUUCCAAAUCAGAAGAACACCAUUUGUAUUCUAACCCAGUCAGAGAAGAAAUGACUGAAUCUAAGUUCUCUAAGUACUCUGAAAUGAGUGAAGAAAAACGAGCUAAGCUUCGUGAAAUUGAGGUUUGUAUUGCAUUAAAAU